GGAUAGUCGGGGGCAUCAGUAUUCAAUUGUCAGAGGUGAAAUUCUUGGAUUUAUUGAAGACUAACUACUGCGAAAGCAUUUGCCAAGGAUGUUUUCAUUAAUCAGUGAACGAAAGUUAGGGGAUCGAAGACGAUCAGAUACCGUCGUAGUCUUAACCAUAAACUAUGCCGACUAGGGAUCGGGCGGUGUUUAAUUUAUGACCCGCUCGGCACCUUACGAGAAAUCAAAGUUUUUGGGUUCUGGGGGGAGUAUGGUCGCAAGGCUGAAACUUAAAGGAAUUGACGGAAGGGCACCACCAGGAGUGGAGCCUGCGGCUUAAUUUGACUCAACACGGGGAAACUCACCAGGUCCAGACACAUUAAGGAUUGACAGAUUGAGAGCUCUUUCUUGAUUAUGUGGGUGGUGGUGCAUGGCCGUUCUUAGUUGGUGGAGUGAUUUGUCUGCUUAAUUGCGAUAACGAACGAGACCUUAACCUGCUAAAUAGCCAGGCGAGCUUUCGCUCGUCGCCGGCUUCUUAGAGGGACUAUCGGCUCAAGCCGAUGGAAGUUUGAGGCAAUAACAGGUCUGUGAUGCCCUUAGAUGUUCUGGGCCGCACGCGCGCUACACUGACGGGGCCAACGAGUACCAUCCUUGGCCGAAAGGUCUGGGUAAUCUUGUUAAACCCCGUCGUGCUGGGGAUAGGGCAUUGCAAUUAUUGCCCUUCAACGAGGAAUUCCUAGUAAGCGCAAGUCAUCAGCUUGCGUUGAUUACGUCCCUGCCCUUUGUACACACCGCCCGUCGCUACUAC
rnacentral:rRNA from 1 species